rnacentral:rRNA from 1 species
CAAUAGCGUAUAUUAAAGUUGUUGCAGUUAAAAAGCUCGUAGUUGGAUCUCAGGUCCAGGCUUGCGGUCCACUCCUUGGUGGCUACUGCUCGUCCUGACCUACCUCCCGGUUUUACCCUUGGUGCUCUUGAUUGAGUGUCUCGGGUGGCCGGAACAUUUACUUUGAAAAAUUAGAGUGUUCAAAGCAGGCGUUUGCUUGAAUAUAUUAGCAUGGAAUAAUGGAAUAGGACGCUGGUUCUAUUUUGUUGGUUUUGAGAACCAGAGUAAUGAUUAAUAGGGACAGUUGGGGGCAUUCAUAUUUUCAUUGUCAGAGGUGAAAUUUCUUGGAUUUGUUAAAGACGGACUACUGCGAAAGCAUUUGCCAAGGAUGUUUUCAUUGAUCAAGAACGAAAGUUAGGGGAUCGAAGACGAUUAGAUACC